UCUCCACUCCGCCGCCGCCGCACUCCAGCUACCCCGUCUUCGACCCAACCCUCAACACUGCCCCAGCAGCAUCGAUCGCGGCCUUCGUCGUACCAGUCCGCCGCUCCACCUGCUCGCCUACUGUCCCUUCGUCCUCACCGGUGGAGCGACCCAGCCGUGUCCUCGUCGGCGCCUGUGCGCGUCCACCUCACAGCACGCCCGAGCGCCCCGUCCUUGAGUCGUCACCACCUGGGAAAGCAGCGACGAUCCGCCUCACCAAGAUGACAACGACUGCCUCAAGUUGGGGGGACACAUCCAGUUGGUGAUAGACCAAGGGAGACGUUGCUCCAUGAACAUGGGAGUACAAACAGGAGCAGGUGGAUAAACACUCCACGGAGCUCACCAGAAUAAAAAUAGGGCAAGAAACUGAAUCUGGGGAAGACAUUGUUAAUAUCAUCAGGUUGUCAUGCUUAAGUACAGAUACAGUUAGAUGUGAAGCUCCAAAACAGGGUUUAUAAUCACUCGCUCGUUUCUGUUUCUUUAUUAUGUUAUCAUGAUAAGACCAGAUACAGUUAGAAUGAAGCUGUUUGUUUGUCGCCCUUUAUGUUAAUGUGAUAUUCAGUAGGGUAGCUCUUUAAUUUAUAUUUUUCUUUCUCUUAGGCAGCAAUGAUGCUCCUUAUAUUGAUGUGAUAUUCUACCAUGUUUUAUCCUAUACAUUACAAUGCCAUUCUGUAUUUAGUAUGCUCAGGAUCAUUUGAUCUGUCUUGUGCUUGUGUUUUCUUUGUUGGUUCAGUCUUAAUGGUACUUAUCCUUAUAGUUCCUUGGGAUUUUUGUCUAUCAUACCUUUUGACCUUUCAUUACGUUAGUAUUUUUGACUUAUUCGGCAGUUACAUUGCAAGUUCAAGGAAUAUCAUUGGCACAGCAGAGAGGUUGCAAACAAGAAGUUGAGUUUAUCACCUGGUGGCAUUAAAAUGUAUCAUUAUUCCUCCAGAUGAAGAGACAGAAAAUAGCCUUUGCAAAGGAUAAGAGGGCGACAAAAGAAUUAAGAUUGCUUUGUGUGUUUGUUGAGUUGGCCUUGAGCUGCUGGGUGGAGGCUAAUUUGGAAAAGAAGCCAAUUCAAGCUGUAAUUGAGUAACAAAUGAGGUCAUGUUUUUCAUAUGUAGUUGACGAACUUAUGUGUUAUUAGAUGUGCUCUUCCUGCUUUG